CUGACAGAGUGAUGGGCCACAGUGAUCCCCGCUGCCUGCUGAGUGCCUGCUGCUGAGUGCCUGCUGCUGUGUGGCAUGGACGGAGGAAGUAACUAGCAGCAGGAAGCACUAGGGACGUCUCAAGAAACCUUAAUAACAGGAGCUGGAGUGCUGGGUGAGGAGGUGCCUCUCCCUCAUCGUGUUGAGUGCCCAGCUUGUACCGUUCACCACUGGCAGGGUUUCAGGCACCGCUGAGUGCUCCGCAGGGUCGUCAACAAUUAUGAUGUCGGCCUAAAAAAUAAUCUUCAAUGCACUUAUUGGCAACAUCGUAUUGAGACAUCAGCAUGAAGGCACCAGGUUCACCGAACACCAGCGUGACGCUCCCUGGCGGAUCCAGCAGAUACAAGACAACUUCCUCCAGCUGGCCAGGAGUGCUGAGGCCUCCUUCAGAGCGCAGUGUUUAGUGAGCGAACAAUCUUCCUUCAUCUGUAUUUCCUCCUGCCUACGACUUGAACUCUUUCAAGAGGAGGGUAUCAGGACACCUCUCCUCCCGAAAUUGACCUCUCUUUCGGCCACUCCUCUAACUCUUUUUAGGAGCAGUGAGUAGCGGGCUUUUUUUUAUAACAUUUGUUACUUGUUUUUAUGCCCUUGAACUGACUCCUCUGCUGUAAAAAAAAAAAAAAAAGAAAAAAAAAUACUGCGAAGUGUUUGUAUUGGUGAAGUUAUUGAGGACUUUGCAAGACUCAACGCCAGGAGGAAGCCUUUCAAAGUGUUAAGUGUCUAUUGUAGUCAAUUUAACUUAGGUUAGUUUAGAAUUGAUCAAAGUUGAGGAUAUAAAUCAUAACACAAUUAGUUUUUUGUUGAUUUUGUCAGUGUUCACAUUGUGAGGUAGUAGUACUUUGGGUAAAUAACUUAUCUUUAAUAAGGGACUGUAUUAUUGGUUUGCACGGAUAAUCAUUGCGUGCUUCUGACAAAAAUAGUGUUGUCAUGCAUGACACACUAUUUAUAUAACAAAUUAAAGAAUAUCAUCCCUUAUAUUUGUUGUUAGUACUUUGUUGGGUAUCCUUUCUUCUUGAUGACCAUCUGAGGGCGACGUGGUACACUGUCAGCAAGAUUUUUCAGCAAUUCAGGCUUAAAAUCUCCCCAACACUUUCGCAGUUCCACUUCAAGCUUGGGGAGUGCAGGUGUGUCACGUGAGCGUCUCAGCUUUCCUUUAAUGAUGGCCCAGAGAUUUUCUAUGGGUGAGAUGUCCGGAGAAUCACCCGGCCAGUCAUUAAUUCACUCAAUCCCGCAGUCAUCAAGCCACUGUGUGACAUCUGGAUCUGUGUGGCUCCAUCCUGCUGGAAGAUCUGAGCCUGUGUCUUGUGAAAGCUGUCCUCCAGAUGGUCAUUUAAAAGUUCAAAAUAAAACACUUUGUUCACAGUUGUGUUCUUCGGUAAUACUACCAAGUCCCCAACACCAUAAUGAGUAAAACAACCCCACACCAUUAAGCUGGGAGAGUGUUUUGUGGUCUUCUGUGUGUAGCGUGGCAGGUCGCUGCAUGGGUCUGCUGAGCUGGGGCGACGGUACACUUUUGCAGGGCCUCCUCCUCCACUCACACAGAAGAUGCUCUUGUCACUCCACAGCACUUUCCGCCAAUUGUCGAGAGGCCAACCUCUAUACUUCUUGGCAAAAAGAAGCCUUCUCUUUCUCGGCUGAUCAUUUAUGAGGGGCUUCUU